rnacentral:misc_RNA from 1 species
GAUGAAGAACGUAGCGAAAUGCGAUACGUAGUGUGAAUUGCAGAAUUCAGUGAAUCAUCGAAUCUUUGAACGCACAUUGCGCCCCUUGGUAUUCCAUGGGGCAUGUCUGUUCGAGCGUCAUUUGUACCUUCAAGCUCUGCUUGGUGUUGGGUGUUUGUCUCGCCUCUGCGUGUAGACUCGCCUCAAAACAAUUGGCAGCCGGCGUAUUGAUUUCGGAGCGCAGUACAUCUCGCGCUUUGCACUCAUAACGACGACGUCCAAAAGUACAUUUUUACACUCUUGACCUCGGAUCAGGUAGGGAUACCCGCUGAACUUAAGCAUAUCAAUAAGCGGAGGA